rnacentral:lncRNA from 1 species
GUUUUGUGUGACAGAUUUUCCACAGACAAAAUAAGAACAUUGUUGUGAAGUGGUGAUCUGCCAAAGAUGUUACAGCAGUGGUGUGUGACAAUUUCCUACAGUAGACUUAUGGAAAGAUAAUCAGGCUGCCAAACAGACAAGAUGCUAGAGUUCACAGUGCUGUGUGCUUUUUUUGAUGAAAAAACAGAGAUAGACAUUUUGCCAUUGAAAAUAAUGGACUCUGAUGUAUUUCAUAUUAACAUGUAUUGUUUUCUAAUGUUGAUAUCUGCCCGUACAAGAGGCAAUGCCCGUAAAAGAGGCACUACUAUUGCUUGAUGAGUUUGCUUUUUCAUUUAUCAAUAGUAACAACAGUCACUAUAGAAAAGUACUCCGAGAUGAAGGUUUGGUGUGUUUGUCUGUAUCAUGUCUUAUAGCCUCUCCUGUCUGUCCGAAUUUAUACUAUGCCGACUUGUUUGCCGGGUACACUGUCCAUACCCAAUACUAAGAGAUAAGGGUAUUCACCCGUGUGAAUGAACAAGUUCACUCACGCUGGUUUUACCUUUGCUUAUUUAGUGUACUGGGUAGACAAGUGCGGUCUAUCACAUCUCGGAGAAAUAUGAUACAUCAAGUAAGGAUCGUUGGCAAAUACAACGUGACACGUUAGGAAAAAUACAGUCAAACUGAAAAACUUUUCAUAGAAUCUUACUUUUGAGAUAUUAGAUAAGGCAGAUAGUACUUCGAAAUUUCAACACGUUGUACAACAAAACUCUGAUUUCUGACUGAUCAUUUUUCCUGAACGUCUCAUUUUAUUUUUGCCAACGAGCCUUUCUCAUAUCCAACAGUACAUGCCAUUGCAUCGAAUUGCAGUCAAACCUCUGAUACUGUAGUAUGAUGAAAAAGUAAAGCACAAUGCAUCGUCUCAAUGCGAAUAAAGCGAUAACUCUUACAUACUUGAGAAUGACAGAGUUACAUCUUUUUGAAAACCAUUACAAAAUCCUAGAGAUGCGUCUUGUCAACCUUUCGAGUAAGCUGUAGGCCUAACACAGAAUCAUUAUAAGACUCGUAUCAAACUAUCAGAA